rnacentral:rRNA from 1 species
CGAGCCAUUGGGCGAACUAAACCCAAGGGCGUAGUGAAAGCGAAGGGCACUCGGUGUCUGAGGGGCGAUCCCUUUCGGGGGCGCAGCCCCGGCGCUUUGCAUCGACCUCGUAUCGUGCAGAGCAGCAAGAGCAUACACGUUGGGACCCGAAAGAUGGUGAACUAUGCCUGGCCAGGUUGAAGUCAGGGGAAACCCUGAUGGAGGACCGUAGCGAUUCUGACGUGCAAAUCGAUCGUCGGAGCUGGGUAUAGGGGCGAAAGACUAAUCGAACCAUCUAGUAGCUGGUUCCUUCCGAA